CAAUUACUUUCUCGCAGGAUAUAUAAGGAAAUAUGAUUAAGCAUUUAUUCAGAAUGGAAUAUUUCAAUACAACUGUUCAACUCGAUUGAGACAAAUUCAAGACUUCUAAACACAAUACAAGCGCUAU